rnacentral:piRNA from 1 species
CCCCCCCCCCAUCUUUGAUGCUUUGAAGGA